rnacentral:rRNA from 1 species
UGGGGAAUAUUGCACAAUGGGUGCAAGCCUGAUGCAGCAACGCCGCGUGAGGGAUGACGGCCUUCGGGUUGUAAACCUCUUUUAGCAGGGAAGAAGCGAAAGUGACGGUACCUGCAGAAAAAGCGCCGGCUAACUACGUGCCAGCAGCCGCGGUAAUACGUAGGGCGCAAGCGUUAUCCGGAAUUAUUGGGGCGUAAAGAGCUCGUAGGCGGUUUGUCGCGUCUGCUGUGAAAUCCCGAGGCUCAACCUCGGGUCUGCAGUGGGUACGGGCAGACUAGAGUGCGGUAGGGGAGAUUGGAAUUCCUGGUGUAGCGGUGGAAUGCGCAGAUAUCAGGAGGAACACCGAUGGCGAAGGCAGAUCUCUGGGCCGUAACUGACGCUGAGGAGCGAAAGGGUGGGGAGC